rnacentral:rRNA from 1 species
UACAGAGGUCUCAAGCGUUGUUCGGAAUUACUGGGCGUAAAGGGUGCGCAGGCCGCGCGGGCAGUCAAAUGUGUAAUUCAGGGGCUCAACCCCUGCACUGCGCUUGAUACUUCCGCGCUCGAGCUUUGGAGAGGAGUCUGGAAUUCUCGGUGUAGCAGUGAAAUGCGUGGAUAUCGAGAAGAACACUUAGGGCGUAGGCAAGACUCUGGACAAAUGCUGACGCUCAUGCACGAAGGCUAGGGUCGCGAACGGG